rnacentral:lncRNA from 1 species
UCAGAAAAGCCAAAAUCAUCGCGCGCAUGAUUACAUACAUCGCUCGCGAUGCAACUUUUACUUUCAUAUCGUGCAUGAUGUUGCACGUGAUUAUUCCAGUAGAAACACAUUUUUGCUCCCUUUUUCACCUAAUUUUCACGAAGUCUCUAUUUCUAUACACAUGGCUAUUUUUUCCUCUUUCUUUGGCCUUUAUUCUUCAUUUUUG